rnacentral:tRNA from 1 species
GCUCCCGUGGCCUAAUGGAUAAGGCGUUGGUCUCCUAAUUUAAUUACAGUUGGGGCUGGGGCUAACCAACGAUGGGGGUUCAAGUCCCCCCGGGAGCC